rnacentral:rRNA from 2 species
UCCUGGUGCUCAGGCGCAGUGGAACCACGCCGAUCCAUCCCGAACUCGGACGUUAAACGCUGCAGCAGCGAAGAUACUUGGAGGGCAGCUUCCUGGGAAAAUAGCCCGGUGCCAGGG